GACGAACGCUGGCGGCGUGCCUAAUACAUGCAAGUUGAGCGCUGAAGGUUGGUACUUGUACCAACUGGAUGAGCAGCGAACGGGUGAGUAACGCGUGGGGAAUCUGCCUUUGAGCAGGGGACAACAUUUGGAAACGAAUGCUAAUACCGCAUAAAAACUUUAAACACAAGUUUUAAGUUUGAAAGAUGCAAUUGCAUCACUCAAAGAUGAUCCCGCGUUGUAUUAGCUAGUUGGUGAGGUAAAGGCUCACCAAGGCGAUGAUACAUAGCCGACCUGAGAGGGUGAUCGGCCACAGUGGGACUGAGACACGGCCCAAACUCCUACGGGAGGCAGCAGUAGGGAAUCUUCGGCAAUGGACGAAAGUCUGACCGAGCAACGCCGCGUGAGUGAAGAAGGGUUUCGGAUCGUAAAACUCUGUUGGUAGAGAAGAACGUUGGUGAGAGUGGAAAGCUCACCAAGUGACGGUAACUACCCAGAAAGGGACGGCUAACUACGUG
rnacentral:rRNA from 1 species